AUUGAACGCUGGCGGCAGGCCUAACACAUGCAAGUCGAGCGGAUGAAGGGAGCUUGCUCCUGGAUUCAGCGGCGGACGGGUGAGUAAUGCCUAGGAAUCUGCCUGGUAGUGGGGGAUAACGUCCGGAAACGGGCGCUAAUACCGCAUACGUCCUGAGAGAGAAAGUGGGGGAUCUUCGGACCUCACGCUAUCAGAUGAGCCUAGGUCGGAUUAGCUAGUUGGUGGGGUAAAGGCCUACCAAGGCGACGAUCCGUAACUGGUCUGAGAGGAUGAUCAGUCACACUGGAACUGAGACACGGUCCAGACUCCUACGGGAGGCAGCAGUGGGGAAUAUUGGACAAUGGGCGAAAGCCUGAUCCAGCCAUGCCGCGUGUGUGAAGAAGGUCUUCGGAUUGUAAAGUACUUUAAGUUGGGAGGAAGGGCAGUAAGUUAAUACCUUGCUGUUUUGACGUUACCAACAGAAUAAGCACCGGCUAACUUCGUG
rnacentral:rRNA from 1 species